GCCAGCCGGGCUCGGCGGCCUGUGGGUCUCCCUGGCCAAGCGUCGAAUUCCUGGCUCUGGAAAUGUCCCCAGCGAGUCCCCUAUUGUUCAGCCUCUGGGAAUCCCAUGCUUUGCGGGGGACAAAGCCAGUUUAUCGUCUGAGCCUGUGACCCCAGUGUCAGUGACGGAGACCCAAGGCCAGGUUGCUCCUCCCGGAGACCGACUCCAGGAGCAGAAACGCACGGGGGCGCCCCGGGACAUCCUCCAGCGCGUCCGGGGGUGUGUGUGCUCGGGCACUAGCAUCUGAGCCCGGGGGUGCAUGCUUCUCAUCCCAGCCCGUGCAACACGGGAGCCGUGUGGGUCCAGCUCCUUCAAAAGGGGGCUCUGGACACGUGGUCACGUCCUCUCCUCCUGCCACAACGUGGACCUGGUGUGACGAUGGCGUCUCCCUGUCCCUGGCCUCAGGCUAAAGCUCAUAAAGAACCAGUUUGGGAACAAAGCUGUGGGGUAAACAGUGAGGCCUCCGGGUGGUGUUCACACCAAGGGUUUGGGGGUGCGUUAGCUGUCCUCGGCGCCCUGAGGGAGCUGCCCACGCUCAAGGCGUCCUCCUCUGGCCCAGCACCCUUACGGAGUCCCCAUGUGUUCUUCUGCUUUGAGACAUGAUGUUUUCUAACCUUUCCACCGAAGGGAAAGUGGCCUGGGCAUUCCCAUGUCAAGAAAAACCUGUCUUCAAUAUGCACGCCGUCGUGUGACUGUGCCAGACUCAACCCGAGCUCCUCCCUCUUGUGGGGUCUUUGGGUAGAACUACAUAUUGUCCUCGAGCAAGGCUCUUUGGUGGCCAACACGGGGACGUGACGGUCCGGAGGAGGCUGUCCUGAGUUACCCAACGUGCAGUACCUUUCAUGCUGUGCAUGAGCCGGUCUGGUCUGACGCUGCUCACGAUGUAGGUCAGGGGAGCGUUGCCGGGAUAACUGGAAUUUCACUGCUUUUAUGAAGAUCAAUGACGCUGACCUUGACAAAGGAUCCCUCCCUGAGUGAGUGAUAAGACAGCGUGUGGCGGCUGGCCAGACACGCGGGCUGGUGGCUGGACGACAUUCCCGGGUCCAGUCACCGUGAGACUUACUCAGGGGAGGAGGACAAGGGACGGGGUGUCGGGACACCUGACUCCUGGGGAGGAGGCUGUGGGGACGGAGAGCUGCGGUCGGAGGGUUUGACCUGGGGGGGGCGCACUUCCGGGAGAGGUCGGAGGGACAGGCUCUUCCUGAUUUCUUGUCAGGACAGGAUCAGAGCCUGGGGGGGGCAGCUGUCCACUGGGGGGCCCCGUCUCCCUGCUCUCCAGCGGUAGGACCAGCGCUUUAACGGUUGAAAUGGAGACAUAGCUGACACAUAGCCCCGUAUCAGUUUUAGACGUACCACAUAAUGAAGGGAUCACGUAUCUUUUGGAAAGUGAUCACCGCAACGAGUUAAUGUCGGUCCCCGAGCUAGUCCCAGUCCCCGUGCUAGUCCUAGCCCCCCGUCAGGUGUACAGUGUUGUUAACUGGAGGCCCCGUGCUGUACGGGCGUCCCCAGGACUUGUCUUCUAACUGGGAGUUUCAUCUUCGAACUUUCUGAGGCCUCCACCCAUCCCUCCUCAGUGUCCCUCUGUGCUCGGUGGCCGGCUGGGAGCAGCACCAGACCCCCGGACCAGCCCGGCGGGGUGGCGGACGGCUCCGGAGCGUGGCCCGGGGCUCUGUGAUUAGGUUCCUGUAGCUGGAGGUGUGUGAACCCCCAUACUUGCUCUUCAGGACAUACCCCACAUCCCCCCGCGGAGUGCCCAGGCUUCCCACCACACAGGGGUGCCCCAGGGACCCCCGCCCUGGCUCCACAUCACCGGUCACUUUCCUCAGCUCUAAUUGAGGGUUUAAUCGAAGUCCUUUGGUUGAAAAGAACCUACACUCUCCCUGGGUGGUGCGAGCAGAUAGUUGGGCUUGAGGAAAGGAAUUCCCUAGGAACCGAGGGCGUGAAGCCUCGUCUCCGUCUCUCUGCGUCUCUUGCUUUGUCUCCUAUUUCUGUGUCUCUGUCUCUGCUCUCCUCUGUGUCUCUGACUCCCUCCGAGCCCUGCAGACCUGCUCCCCCUGCUUGGCUAUGACCGGCUACGUGGUGGCUGUCUAGCACGGGGUCCUCAAGCUGGAGCCACCCACCCCCUCCCACAAUCUUCCAGGCAGUGCCCAGCAUGCCAGGCCAGGAGGCACAGCCUGCUGCGGAAAGCAGUGGUCAAUUCUGAAACCCCUUUAUCAACCCGCCCCAGAUAACAUUACUCUGAUUCGUUUUGUAGCCGAUAAGUAUUGGCGGCUCCUUCUGUUUCAGAAACUCCACCCCCCCCCCCAAAA